rnacentral:rRNA from 1 species
AUCUGGCUCAGGAUGAACGCUAGCUACAGGCUUAACACAUGCAAGUCGAGGGGCAGCAUGGUCUUAGCUUGCUAAGGCCGAUGGCGACCGGCGCACGGGUGAGUAACACGUAUCCAACCUGCCAUCUACUCUUGGACAGCCUUCUGAAAGGAAGAUUAAUACAGGAUGGCAUCAUGAGUCCGCAUGUUCACAUGAUUAAAGGUAUUCCGGUAGACGAUGGGGA